rnacentral:misc_RNA from 1 species
AACGGUCUAUACCUGCGGUACCUGCGGAGGGAUCAUUAUCGAGUUGCAAAACUCCCUAAACCAUUGUGAACCUACCUGUACCGUUCCUUCGGCGGGCGGCGUCAAGCCCUAACCCGGUCCCCUUUACGGGGGAUGGACCCGCCGGAGGCUCCUAAACUCUUAAUUUUAGUUGGCAUCUCUGAGUAAAUCAAAAUAAGUCAAAACUUUCAACAAUGGAUCUCUAGAUCGGAAGAGCACACG